AGUAUUUCCAGUUUUGUGGGUUGUCUUUUCACUUUCCUGACAAUGUCCUAUGGUAUAAAAGUUUAUGUUUGAUGGAAGUCCAAUUUAUUUUCUUUUUGUGAUUUUAAUUUCAGUGUUAUACCUAAGAAUCAACUGCCAAAUUAAAGAUUCUUUAGGACUUCCUACAUGUAAGAUCACGUCAUCUGAGAUUAAGACAGCUUUACUUCAUCCAUUCCAAUUUCAGUGUAUUUUAUUCUUUUUCUUGCCUGACUGCUCUGGCUAGAACUUGUAGCACAAAGCUAAAUACAAGUGGCAUCAUAGUUUUAUUUGUGAUAACAAAGGGAAGACAGACUUUUCACAGAAUCACAUUUAAGAUUCUAUCAUCAAAUCCAAGGUCAUGAAGAUUUAUUCCUAUUUUCUACUGAAAGUUAUAGAGAUUUAACUCUUGUAUUUGGGAUGCUGAUACAUUUUGAGUUAAUUCCGUAGAAGGUGGAAGAACCCACCAAUAAAUCCACUAGCUGUCUCUGCAGAAGCCUGGACUCAAGGCCAACUAAUAUGGUUCCAGCCUAUGAAGAAGCAAAGUUACAUUCAGUUUAUGCCAGUUCUGAGAGCAUGCAAGUAGCUCCUUCUUCUUGUCCUAAGAUAACCUCCUGACAUCAGGGACUGAAUUUUGCCUCAUUUUGAUGUUAACUUUCCACCCCAAAGUGAACAAGGAAUGUAUGUUACAUAUAUGUUUGCUCAAUGAGCAUGUUCCACCUUUCCUCAUGAAUAGUCACAAGUUUCCCCACUCUUUUCUUCAAUAUGUAUGUAAUCUCAACUCCUAUGGUUAUAAAAAACUUGUUCUCUCCACCUUUGCGGAGUUGGAUUUGAGGCUUGCCCUCCUGUCUCGUUUGGCUGCCUCUCAAAUAAACCCUUUCCUUACUGCAUACUGUUAUUUUAAAAUGCAUAGAUUCAUCUAAACAACACGAAGCAAAAACUUCUAUAACCAACAAAAUAACUUGUCUACUCUCAUACUUAACCUCAGGAAAACAACUUAUUCUGUGUUACUAUACUUGGCUUUUACCAAAACAUCAUCUGUAUAUAGGAAUUUUGAAUAUGGAUUCUUUCACCUACCAAAACCCAUUUGAAAUUCAUCUAUAUUGCUCAUGUAUCAAUAGUUCAUUCUGCAUUAUUGUUUAGUUUUACAUUAUAUGGAUGUAGCACAUUUUAUUCAUCCAAUACUCUAUUUGAGGGUCAUUCAGGUUUUUUUCCAGUUUGGGCUGACAAAAAAAAAAAAAAAAAGCUACUAUGUUUUGAUGGUGCGCAACAUUAAUGCACAGUUCUAUGUUAGAACACAGAUUAUUAUUUCAACUUGGAUAAAUACCUUUAAGAGUAACUGCUUGGCCAUAUAAUAGAUGUACAUUUAAUUUUAUGAGAAACUGACAAACUGCUUUUACAAAGUACCUGUCUCAUUUGAUAGGCAAUGCAUAGGAAUUCCAUUUAUUCUGUAUCUUUAGCAGCACUUUAAAAUGUUGGUUUUUCUUAUUCAGCCAUUCAAGAUGUUUAGUGACGUCAUGGUGAUUUUAAUCACCAUUUCCUUAAUGACAAAUGGAUGCUAUUUUUCUAUUUACUUGUGUAUUAAUAAAAAAUAUAUUUCCAUCUUUUGUA